rnacentral:rRNA from 1 species
AUUGAACGCUGGCGGCAGGCCUAACACAUGCAAGUCGAGCGAGCGGCGGACGGGUGCGUAAUGUAUGGGGACUGCCCGAUAGAGGGGGAUAACUACUGGACACGGUGGCUAAUACCGCAUACUGUCGGAUAACCCAUAUGGGAUUAGCUAGUAGGUAAGGUAAUGGCUUACCUAGGCGACGAUCCCUACCUGGUCUGAGAGGAUGAUCAGUCACACUGGGACUGGGACACGGCCCAGACUCCUACGGAGGCAGCAGUGGGGAAUCUGCCGCAAUGGACGAAAGUCUGACGGAGCAACGCCGCGGGAGUGAUGACGGCCAUCGGGUUGGAAAGCUCUGUUAUUCGGAAGACGGUACCGGAAUAGAAAGCCACGGCUAACUACGUGCAAGCAGCCGCGGUAAUAC